rnacentral:misc_RNA from 1 species
UACAGAGGGUGCAAGCGUUAAUCGGAAUUACUGGGCGUAAAGCGCACGUAGGCGGGUAGAUAAGUUGGAUGUGAAAGCCCUGGGCUUAACCUGGGAAAGUCAUUCGAUACUGUUUACCUAGAGUAUGGUAGAGGCAAGCGGAAUUCUCGGUGUAGCGGUGAAAUGCGUAGAUAUCGGGAGGAACAUCAGUGGCGAAGGCGGCUUGCUGGGCCAUAACUGACGCUGAGGAGCGAAAGCGUGGGUAGCGAACAGG